AAAGCAGACCGCCUUAUCGCCGCCAAUUAUGGGGGAGGAAAGUCCGGGCACCACAGAGUAGCAUAGCGGGUAACGCCCGUCAUUCGUCACGGCGAAGAGGACAAGUGCAACAGAAAGUAUGUACAGGUAAUGCUGUAGUGAAACCAGGUAAACUCUAUGCGGUGAAAUACCAAGUAUAUCGGCUCCCGUUUUGGCGGGGAAGAAUUACUCGUUCUUUGCCGAAGGGUAGGUAGAUUGAGUUCUAAAGUAAUUUAGAACCUAGAUAAAUGAUAAGGGAACAAUUUAUUGUUUACAGAACCCGGCUUAUAGGUCUGUUUUUUUU
rnacentral:RNase_P_RNA from 1 species